rnacentral:rRNA from 1 species
GACGAACGCUGGCGGCGUGCUUAACACAUGCAAGUCGAACGAAGUGGCGAACGGGUGAGUAACGCGUAAUCAACCUGCCCUUCAGAGGGGGACAACAGUUGGAAACGACUGCUAAUCCCGCAUACUGAAGGAGGGGCUUUCGUCUGAUUAGCUAGUUGGAGGGGGAACGUCCCACCAAGGCGAUGACCAGUAGCCGGUGUGAAAGGAUGAGCAGCAACAUUGGGAAGGAGACACGGCCCAGAAUCAAACGGGAGGCAGCAGUGGGGAAUCUUACGCGAUGGACGAGAGUAUGAAGGAGCAACGCCGCGAGAGUGAUGAGGGCCUUCGGGUUGUAAAGAAAUGUUAAUCGGGACGCGGUACCGAAAUAGAAAGCCACGACUAACUACGUGCCAGCAGCCGCGGUAAUAA